rnacentral:rRNA from 1 species
GACGAACGCUGGCGGCGCGCCUAACACAUGCAAGUCGAACGAGAGAUGAGGAGCUUGCUCUUCAAAUCGAGUGGCGAACGGGUGAGUAACGCGUGAGGAACCUGCCUCAAAGAGGGGGACAACAGUUGGAAACGACUGCUAAUACCGCAUAAGCCCACGGCUCGGCAUCGAGCAGAGGGAAAAGGAGCAAUCCGCUUUGAGAUGGCCUCGCGUCCGAUUAGCUAGUUGGUGAGGUAACGGCCCACCAAGGCGACGAUCGGUAGCCGGACUGAGAGGUUGAACGGCCACAUUGGGACUGAGACACGGCCCAGACUCCUACGGGAGGCAGCAGUGGGGAAUAUUGCACAAUGGGGGAAACCCUGAUGCAGCGACGCCGCGUGGAGGAAGAAGGUCUUCGGAUUGUAAACUCCUGUUGUUGAGGAAGAUAAUGACGGUACUCAACAAGGAAGUGACGGCUAACUACGUGCCAGCAGCCGCGGUAAAACGUAGGUCACAAGCGUUGUCCGGAAUUACUGGGUGUAAAGGGAGCGCAGGCGGGAGAACAAGUUGGAAGUGAAAUCCAUGGGCUCAACCCAUGAACUGCUUUCAAAACUGUUUUUCUUGAGUAGUGCAGAGGUAGGCGGAAUUCCCGGUGUAGCGGUGGAAUGCGUAGAUAUCGGGAGGAACACCAGUGGCGAAGGCGGCCUACUGGGCACCAACUGACGCUGAGGCUCGAAAGUGUGGGUAGCAAACAGGAUUAGAUACCCUGGUAGUCCACACCGUAAACGAUGAUUACUAGGUGUUGGAGGAUUGACCCCUUCAGUGCCGCAGUUAACACAAUAAGUAAUCCACCCUGGG